CUUGGAGAUUAUAUGGUGCGUUGUGUUUACGUGCCAAGUCGGAGUCAGACAUGUUGCACGUUUGGAGCUAACUACGGCUAUGUUGAAGGAAAACAACAUUUGGAGCUAACUACGGCUAUGUUGAAGGAAAACAACAUUUGGAGCUAACUAUGGUUAUGUUGAAGAAAAACAACAUUUGGAGCUAACUACGGCUAUGUUGAAGGAAAACAACAUUUAGAGCUAACUACGGUUAUGUUGAAGAAAAACAACAUUUGGAGCUAACUACGGCUAUGUUGAAGAAAAACAACAUUUGGAGCUAACAAUGGCUAUGUUGAAGAAAAAGAUUACUUGGAGCUAACUAUGGUUAUGUUGAAGAAAAAGAUUACUUGGAGCUAACUAUGGUUAUGUUGAAGAAAAAGAACAUUUGGAGCUAACAAUGGUUAUGCUGAAGAAAAAGAACACUUGGAGCUAACAAUGGUUAUGUUGAAGAAAAAGAACACUUGGAGCUAACAAUGGUUAUGCUGAAGAAAAAGCACAGUCUGCGAGUUUGAAGUGUUCCAUGUAUGCACUGCUGCAUGCACUCAUCAUGGCUUCUUCACCCAUGGUCAUUGGCAACCAGCUCAUCCUGGAAGAAGACUUUGAUGAAAACUAUAAUCCCUCUGAACAAGAGAUUAACAAGUAUGCAAAGGAGAUAGGAAUUGAUCCUGACAAAGAAGAGGAGCUGAUGUGGUUGGCCAAGGAGGGGAUUGUUGCUCCACUUCCACCAGAGUGGAAGCCUUGCCAAGAUGUUACAGGCGACAUCUACUAUUACAAUUUCUCUUUCGGUGAGUCCACCUGGGAUCAUCCCUGCGACCAACACUACCGCCGGCUGGUUAUCCAAGAACGUGAACGCGUCCAGCGUGCUGCUGUUGGAUCAGGGAACAAGAAAAAGAAAAAAGAGAAAAAGGAGAAAAAAGAGAAAAAUAAGAAGGACUCAGUCAGACCUACUGGAGGUCAAAGGACUUUGGCUUUGGCGUCGUUGCAAUCACCACGAGGAUGCCUGGUUCCUCUCAGUGGUCUCGAUGCUCCUGUUCUUGGCCCAAUAUCUGGUUCUGGAUCUGCUUCUGUGUUUUCUCGCUCACUUGGAUCUGGGGGACUGGAACCUCUCAAAGCACCUGGGCUUCUUGGGGGUCUCUGUAGCAGUGCCUUUUCUAGUGUUUCAAGCAACAAGAAUGAAGAAAAGGUGUUUCUUACCAUGCCUGGCUUUGACGAGGGUGACGACAUCUUAGAACAUGAGUCAAGCCAGAGGUCUUCAGACAGGCAAAUAAUGAACCACCAUCUGGACCUGGAUGACUUCAGAAAAGGUGUUCAAUAUGAGGAAAGUGAAGCUAGCGCUGCAGCGAGGGCAAAGGACAGAACCCUUUCUGGAGGACACAACUCUGAGCCUCCCUCACGACAGAACUCUGAAGCCAGUGAUAUUAUGAAGAGUUCAUCAUCCACAAAUGUGAAGCUGUCGGAAAAUGUUUUAGACCUCAACGAUACGUCUAGCUCUGUGAGUCUACUGGAGAAAAACUAUGACAGAGACAAUGUAAUGGAUGCGAUGGGAAAGUAUACAAAGGUUGAGGCUGUCAAGAGGAAUUUACUGUCCACAGACAAGGAAGAACUUACAGUUUCAAAAGGUGAAGAACUUGUGGUACCUCAGACCCUCUCUUCACACACGGAAGUAGACCUUCUGAACCAACCCGCUGCUGAACGUCUAUGCUCAGCUGAUAAUCUGCAGAGACCUGAAACUUCUCGAGGUCGGCUGUGCCGAACUUCCAACAUUCAAAUGAAAACAUUGGAGAUCUCCAGAUGCAACUAUGUGCAAACAUUGGAAAAAGAAUCCAAUUUUGCAAUCUGGAAAAAUGAAGAAGGCGAAAGCGAGGUAGAAAAUGAGUGGGUGAGGACUGAAAAAGAGAAGAAUCUAAAAGUGAGAAACAAAGAUGAAGAACUAAAGAGUGGUGAUGCGAGUCAGAAAGGGGAUGAGGACACAGAUCAAUUAAUUAAGGAGAAAAAGAAGAGCUCAAUUUUUCUCCAGGAGGCAUUGUUCAGCAAGGAGAACGAGUGUUUAAAGGAGGAGAGGGGAAUAUCUCGCUUCUGUAAGGAGUUGAAGAGAGAAGAAGAUGCAGAGAAGGAGCAAUUUAUUAGGGAGAAGAGAACAGCUUUAUUCCAGGAGGAAGAGGUGAAGCUUGAAGAAGAGGGUGUAGAAAAACUGAGGGAGGAGAGCGAAAUGAUGCUGAAAGAUUUACGUAUGUCACUGGGAGAAGAAAAGAAGCUGGAGGCUCAGCAGAGGCUGGACAUUGAGCGUAUGAAGGCUGAGUCAGAAGAGAAGCUGCCAGCAGAGACAACCAAAGUGCAUGAGGAGAACAGGAACUAUUUCAAGCAGGAGGUAAUCACCUCAGAGAGAACUUGUAGAGAGCUGAUUCGUCCACAUCCUGAGCAGCAGCUCACACAAUACCAUAAAGAGCUGUCUGAUUUGCUCCUGGAAGUGCGAGAGGACGUGCAGCGUGAGCACGAGAAGAAGCUGGUGCACCUGAGGCAGGAACACAGGAGAGAGAUCAACAACAUCAGGGAGAAGCAACAGGAAGAGGAACGUGUUCAGAGAGAGCAGUUGUUUGGUACUCUGCAAGAAGACCGAGAGCUUUUGCAGGCCUCACAUGAUCAUCAACUGGAGAAACUACGCAUUCAGCUUCACAAUGAGAUAGAGAAGGCCCAGCUGACAUACUCGCAUAAGCAAUCAGAACUUCAACAUUACAUCUACCAGUUAGAGCUGAAAACCAAAGACCUGAAGAGAGAUGAGGAAAUUCUCCAGAGCAAGGCAGAAGAUUUGAACAGAAAGAGGAAGAUGCUUGGCGGAGAAGAGGAGGAUGUAGAUCUACAGACAACAACUUUGCAGAAAGUGAUCUUGGAGAGAGACCAGCUGAGGCUAGAGAUUGAAAGAAUGAGGGAGGAUCAAAAUCAAGAACUCCUUAAUAAAAUGCGAGAGGAAAGAAACAAGGCUGAACAAGAAAUGGAGAGGUUGAGGGAGGAGAUAGACAAAGUCAUGGAGGAAAGCGAGAAGGUGAAGGAAGAAAAGCAGCGACUGGAGAGCAAGGUGGCGCUGCAUCAGGAACAGUGUGAGCGUCUCAGUCGCAGAGUCAGUGAGUUGGAAACACACGAGGGACAAAGUGCCUUCAGACGGAAAAAGAAGAGCACGUCACUUUCCAAUGGCCAAGCAGCCUCAGCCCGACAUGGAGAUGAGCUGGAGGAAACUAUUUCCUCUGCUGCACCUGACAGCUGCAGCGACAUGCUUCAGUUCAACUCUUCUCAUGGCUCAGCUCUUCAAAGGACAAGAACCCUUCUGGAGAAAGAAAGCCACCAACUCAUGGAAAGACAGACAACUCUUCAUGUGGCCCAAAGUAACUAUACUCCACAACCCAACCAGGGAGGAGGGAGGACUGAACAAAAGAAGAUGAGACGUUUGUCUGAGCUGUCACAGAUGAUCAUCAGUGAAAUCCCCCUCAAAUCAGAACCACUCAAGCAUGACGACAGCUCAAUAGCUCAGAAGUCAUUGCUGCAAGAUGCUGGGCAGAGGAAGGUCACCUUCAAUGUGACAGAAGAUUCAGACCUCAGCAGCACGGUUGACCCGUCUAAUGAGACAGGAGGCAAUCUGACCUUCCUGGCCAAAGUCCAGGAGUUAGCCGAGUCCCAACAGCAGAUCUCAGGCCAGCUCAACACUGUGUUAGGGGCUCUGGGGUCAUUAGCCCAGAGGCACAGCAGUACGUCUCUUCCAGCCUUCACCACAGUCUUGUCUCCUUCUACUGCCACAAGGUCUUCACCCUUUCUACCACAAGUUCCCGUUUUAGGCCCCAUAUCUUUAGAGCAACCUAAGCCACUCUGGAAGGCGUCCAACAUCGCUGGCUUUGGCCUCGCCAACUUUGUGGCCAGCUCUUCUACAGCUGGUCUGAGAACUUUUGGAGAUGUUGCACACCGCAGAUGGACAGACUUCUUUCCUGAAGGUGCAGAGAUCCAGUCCAGCAUCUCAAGGUCAUCCUACACGCCUGCUAACCUGCACGUGCAGAAAACGGUGAAAGUGGAUGGCCAGAAGCUGCAGAAGCUGAUAGAAAGCAACAAGCGCUGGUAAAUGUUGCUCAUUCAUCAGUGCCACAAAGUACCGGUACAGAGUACUGAUGUGCUAUCCAUCAGCCUCCGAUCAGUAUCAGCCAAUCUCACCAAAAAAACAACCUGGUACAGCUGGGUCUGGAUGACAACAACCAGAUUAAAGUCUACCAUUACUGAGGACACCAGGAUCUGUCCAGAGAUCCUGGUACAGCUGGGUCUGGAUGACAACAACCAGAUUAAAGUCUACCAUUACUGAGGACACCAGGAUCAAGGAACUUUAUUUUCAUCUCAUGAGACACUUGCUAUUUUUCUUAGGUUGAACAAGUGUCAGACUUAUUUUGAUUGGUCACAUGGGAUGCAUGACUUUGUAGAGACUCUGACUGUUGUGUAUCUUGUAUUCCGUUUCUUUUCCAGUGUUAGGGAACAAGUUAUUUCUGUACCACUGGCUGUUUGUUUCUAUUUGAAGUUGAACAAUUACUGCUCUCAUUAUGGGCCUUUCUCCCAUCUGUGGAUGAGUGUUUUACUAUGCGCUUAUCCCUAUUUUCUCAAUGGACCCUGAGACACAACCUUGUACGUGUUGUCAUGGGGAUUUAGUCUUCCUAGCUGGAUGACACUUGUUAUAUAGUGUUGUCAUGUUUAGUAGCAUUAUUGUGAUGCUGUGACAUGUUAGAGGGACUAGAGUGUGUGAGUGACAGCACAACUCAAUCAAUUUAUUCAAAUUCAAUACUUUUUUUGCUAUCUGCUGCUACAUUUUUCCUGAUUGUUGUGUUAAAAAACCCGACCUCCUUGACCUUUUUCUAGCGUUUGAUUGAUGUUACAGUAUGUGUUUUCUAUUGCCCAGUCAAUGAUCACGCUCCAUCCCAAAUGUUACAGUAAACCCUAACCCUAACUCCAUCCCAAAUGUUACAGUAUGUGUUUUCUAUUGCCCAGUCAAUGAUCACGCUCCAUCCCAAAUGUUACAGUAAACCCUAACCAUAACUCCAUCCCAAAUGUUACAGUAUGUGUUUUCUAUUGCCCAGUCAAUGAUCACGCUCCAUCCCAAAUGUUACAGUAUGUGUUUUCUAUUGCCCAGUCAAUGAUCACGCUCCAUCCCAAAUGCGAUGUAUUGAACAUUUGUUUGCCCGAGGAUUUGCAAAUACGGCCAAUAUGCGUAAUGGUCAUAAUACAUCGCACCAAAGUGCAAUUUAAUAUUUCACCUUCCUUGCCUCAGAAGUACAUAGUGGAACAAAUACGGAAGUCAAUGGGAAAAUACACUAUAUUGCCAAAAGUAUUUGGCCACCUGCCUUAACUCACAUAUGAAGUUGGAGUGCCAUCCCAUUCCUAACCCAUAGGGUUCAAUAUGACCUUUUGCAGCUAUUACAGCUUCAACUCUUCUGGGAAGGCUGUCCACAAGGUUGCAGAGUGUGUUUAUAGGAAUUUCCCGCCAUUCUUCCAAAGUGCAUUGGUGAGGUCACACACUGAUGUUGGUGGAGAAGGCCCGGCUCUCAGUCUCCUUUCUAAUUCAUCCCAAAGGUGUUCUAUCGGGUUCAGGUCAGGACUCUGUGCAGGCCAGUCAAGUUCAUCCACACCAGACUCUGUCAUCCAUGUCUUUAUGGACCUUGCUUUGUGCACUGGUGCACAGUCAUGUUGGGAGAGGAAGGGGCCCGCUCCAAACUGUUCCAACAAGGUUGGGAGCAUGGAAUUGUCCAAAAUGUUUUGAAUGUCCUGAAAAAUAACCCCAUGUGGAAGUCUUUGUGUGGGUUCUUCUGGGACCAACGGAUCAUUGCCACACCCCCUCUGGUACAGGUUUACAGAUAGUCUUUAUUUUCAAGUUCUUUUGGUGCUUUUCAGCAAUUGUCUGUCUUUUCUUUUCCCUUGUUGUCUCGUGCUCCUCUGUCAUCUCCCAUCAGUCUCCCUCUCAUGGUCUCCGACGCUGCUAAUAAAGGAACAGGUGAUUAGAUAACUCGUUCCAGCUGAGAUAUCCACUCACCUGUCUGCUGCUUCAUGGCCGGCACCUGCACACGCCCUGCCUGCAGGGAAUGCGUGGACCACGCCCCUUCCACACCCCACACCAUAAUUCCUACUCCACCAAAUUUCCCACUGUGCACAAUGCAGUCCGAAAUGUAGCGUUCUCCUGGCAACCUCCAAAGCCAGACUGGUCCAUCAGAUGGAAAAGUGUGAUUCAUCAGUCCAGAGAAGGCGUCUCCACUGCUCCAGAGUCCAGUGGUGAUGUCCUUUACACCACUGCAUCCCACGCUUUGCAUUGGACUUGGUGAUGUAUGGCUUAGAUGCAGCUGCUCGGCCAUGGAAAGCCAUUCCAUGAAGCUCUCUGCGUACUGUACGUGGGCUAAUUGGAAGGUGACAUGAAGUUUGGAGUUGUGUAGCAAGUGACUGUGCAGAAAGUCUUUGCACUAUGCUGACCUCUCUGUCACUUUACCUGGCCUACCACUUUGCACUAUGCUGACCUUUCUGUCACUUUACCUGGCCUACCACUUGGUGGCUGAGUUGCUGUUGUUCCCAAACUCUUCACUUUUCUUAUAAUAAAGUUGACUUUGGAAUAUUUAGGAGCGAGGAAAUGUCACGGCUGGAUUUGUUGCACAGGUGGCAUCCUAUGACAGGAUGCCACCCAUUCUUUCACAAAUGUUUGUAGAAACAGUCUCCAUGCCUAAGUGCUUGAUGUGACACACCUGUGAUUAGUGAUUCUCAUCAUUUGGAUGGCUGGCCAAAUACUUUUGUCAAUAUAGUGCACAUGCAAAGGCAGAUUGGACCAGAGGCACAUUUUGGAGGAAGGCACGUAGUGACAGCUUGACAUUGAGGAGGAUGACUAUAAAUAAAUGUUAGCCACUUUACUCAUGAAUUUUCAUAUUCCUUUUUCCAUUUUUUCUGAGCUGGGUCUCGAGUCACCCACUUGAUAUUUUUCAUUCCUUCCAAGUGAAUGCAUUGAAUAUGUAUGACAUCAUUAUUCCGAGUGAUAUAGGCUUUAUUGUUAUUGCUCUGCUUUUAACUUGAUGGCUAAAGUCAAGUCGGUUUAACAUAAAUAAUAGGGCGCAAAACAGAUAACUGAAUUAUAUUUAUAUAGCGCUUUUCUCUAGGGACUUUAUAUAGUGAAAGCCAUUAUCCAAGGUACAUUUAAAGCAGUUUGGUGGCAGGUGAGUCAAGUAUCUGCUCGUUGAGGGCAGUAACUGCAGCCUUCUUUCACCUCAGAGUUUCCAAAAUUCAAGAAAAGUCUCCAAGACACAAGAAAAGCCUCCAAUAAGGCCUGAAAAAGUCACUAGAUUUGUUCAUAGUUGCUGUUUACUGUUGUGGAAUUUCUGACCUUUUGAACUAUAUUUUGUGUCUAUUAAGAAUGUCUGCUCAUUUUCAUUUCUCUUCUAUUCUGUGCAAGUGAAAGGUCCAGGAGUGGGACAAAGUUGAAUAUGGAGUCGCUCUGACCAAUCUACAAAACUGUUUUUGCUGUCUAAGCAAGACUAAGGAAUUCGAGGUUGUUUUGGAACAGACAGGCCAAAACAACAAGAACUGUGACGCACGAACCAACAGAUAAAAUGGCAGGAGACCGGGACUGGAGAGAGAUUGCUUGUGUGUGUCCUCCGGAGGACGUUUGUGUGUCUGCAUGGACAGCUCAAUCUGACUUGAUAAUGGCUAAAUAAACUUUUUGUACUAAAUUCACUUUUGUUGCUGCUUAAGCUCUGGACAAUCCACCACACAAAUUGGCGUCACAAACAGGAUGGCCCAGAAGCUACAGGUCGACAGCCGCUCCCGCUCUCUCUGUCAGGCAGACAAUGUGUUGCAUGCGCGCAUCACAAGGUAAGCAGUUUGCUUUAAAGUGUAAACAUUUUCUGCCUGGAGAGAACGGGAUCGAUAAGACUAAUUGCUGAACCUGUUUUUGAUAAAAGAUAGGUUUAGUCAGGUUCUCCAAAAACAACCUGGAAUGGGGUAAAUUAUGGUUGGAUUGAGUUGUUUUAUAUGUGAUUAUUUGUCUGUGUGUUUGUUGAAAACUUGUGAUUUCUUGUUUUUAGCUAUAAGGGGAUUGUUAAUAGAAUUUUGGUGGUUUGGAGUGUUAGCAUAGACGAUGUGAGACGAAUACAUUUUUUUAACCUCUCCCUCCUUUGUCGUUGUCGGCAAAGGAGGCUUCUCUCUGCAAGUGCAUCAGGUUAGCCGGAGUUGGACACAGCGAAAUUUAAGGCAAGGUUUGCUAACUGGUGUGACAUUUGGCCCACACAAAUUUAUGACAUCUAUGAAGGUGCGACAUAUCUGUCUAUGUGGAAACUGCGUGGCCGGUAAAAAGGCUGAUAUUAGGUGAUCGUUCAGUGAUUCCGGUAAAGGAGAUCACCUGAGCCAAGUUGUCACGAAUUUGGAAAUUUGCUGCAGUAUAGACAGGUAGAGAUCGGGCUGCAUAUGGUAGAGCUUUGGUGAAACUGUAUGGACUGACCAGACACGAUGUACUGUAGGAUUGUUGGGUGAUUGCCAGUGGUCCUAUGGCGCCUUAGAGGCCGGUUAUCCGUGUUGGUCAGGGAGGAAGCGCAGGUGUUGCUCCGCUGAACGGGUUAAUCACCGUUGUAUGAGUAAGAAGGGACCUGCAGGUUGUGUUAUGAGACGGCCGGUUCCACAAGCACGCGUGCAAAGUUGUUUAUAUUGGUAUAUUGGUCCGGACCAGGGGGUGUGUUUUGUGAUUAUUUAUAUAUAUAUGUGCGUAAUUUAAUAAAUUUUGUGGAGCACCUGUUUUCUUAUCUGUUUUAAUUCCCCCCUUCCCUCUUCCCCCCCCCCCUCUCGCAACCUCCCUUCACACUUUUUCUCACAGCCCCGCUAAAUCUGCAAAAGCUGGGAAAUUGUCCAAAAUGUGUGUGCUUGUGAGGAAAUAGACAAAGUUUAUGUACAAAAAACAUAUGAGUGAAUGAUCCAUCCAUACAAUUAUCGCCUUCCGCUUAUCAAGAGGGUGGAUCGCGGAGGCAGCAGCCUAAGCAGGGAAGUCCAGAACUUCCCCCCCUUUGGCGCUGCGAGCGAAUUCCAGUCAUUUGAAUUUGUUUUUAACUGUGCUGGUGAUUGUGACUGUGCGAUAUUAUAGUUUGUAAGAAGGCACUGAGAUUUUGAGUACGGAAAAAGGCUCUCGCUCUCUGGUGAAUUUUUUGUGUGUGUGUGUGCGUGCAUGUGACUCAGUAAGAAAAUAAAAAAGGAGGCCUUGCUGGGAGACAUUUUAAGAUAAGGGAUGUGUGCGUGUGACGAGGCUGUGUGAGUGACACUGUUAGCAUA